rnacentral:rRNA from 1 species
UACGUAGGGUGCGAGCGUUAAUCGGAAUUACUGGGCGUAAAGCGUGCGCAGGCGGUUGUGUAAGACAGAUGGGAAAUCCCCGGGCUCAACCUGGGAACUGCAUUUGUGACUGCAUGGCUAGAGUACGGUAGAGGGGGAUGGAAUUCCGCGUGUAGCAGUGAAAUGCGUAGAUAUGCGGAGGAACACCGAUGGCGAAGGCAAUCCCCUGGACCUGUACUGACGCUCAUGCACGAAAGCGUGGGGAGCAAACAGG